rnacentral:lncRNA from 1 species
GGGGCACUCUCGGGCCUGCACCGCCCGCUCUGAGAACAGGGACGGGGCACAGGACAUGCAGGAGAUCGCGGGGCUCCGCAGGAAGUUUCCACAUGGUUCUCUCUCACGUGGUGGAACUUGGACUAAGACUCAUCAGUGACCAUUACCAGUGGGAUCAGUGGCAUCGAGCACUUGGGCACAGCUCCCUGUCCCUGAAGCAGCACAGGCCCCUGCCCGUGGGGAAGAGGAGCUGCAGAGAACCAUCUCUGCUGAGAAACACCAGGGCCCUGCCGAGCCUGCCUCCACCUCCCCUGCAGACCUGCAGAGGUCCGAAAUCAUCUCUGCCGAGGAGUGGACACAGUGCCCUUCAAGCCCGGUCACUGGGAGGCCCCGGAGCUGGGCCUUGACCUCAGGUGGCCAGGUGGGCCCUCAGGCGGCCCCCCGGCGCUGCUGUCCCUCCAGUGUCCUCCCACUUCCUCCCUGCCCAACAGGUUGAGGACGCAGAGCCUGCAGCCCCAGGCCGACCUCAGCCCAGCCCUUCCCGCAGGCCCCACUCAGCCUGCCAGUCCCCAGGCCACCACUUCUGUUCCCACGCCUCACGGAGUGCAGGCUGGCUGGGCGCCGUCCAUUCAUCACUGAGCCGAGGGCGCCAGGCCUGGGAGAGUGUUCAGGAGGCCCCUGCUCCCUCGUAGUGGAAG